UCCUGGUUAUGGACAGCUUGGACAGUCUC
rnacentral:piRNA from 1 species